AGAUGGGUGGUACCAUACUUCCUGACUUUUUCCUGUGUGAUCUCUCCUGUUUCUCGAGGAAUCAGUAUGCAGCAGAAACAUGUGCCAGCUUUGCUCAGGCGAGCACCAUGUACUCUCACCUUGGUGCCACUUUGUCACUGCUGUCCACAAAUAGUGUUGGAAUAUGCACAAUUACCAAAGGGGUGGAAAAGUUUGCAGAGGGCCUUGCAAGAGUACAGCAGAGGC